AGAGUUUGAUCAUGGCUCAGGAUGAACGCUAGCUACAGGCUUAACACAUGCAAGUCGAGGGGCAGCAUGUUGGUUGCUUGCAACCAAUGAUGGCGACCGGCGCACGGGUGAGUAACGCGUAUCCAACCUACCCUUGUCCAUCGGAUAACCCGUCGAAAGGCGGCCUAACACGAUAUGCGGUUCACAGCAGGCAUCUAAGGUGAACGAAAUGUGAAGGAGAAGGAUGGGGAUGCGUCUGAUUAGCUUGUUGGCGGGGUAACGCCACCAAGGCUACGAUCAGUAGGGGUUCUGAGAGGAAGGUCCCCCANAUUGGAACUGAGACACGGUCCAAACUCCGUACGGGAGGCA
rnacentral:rRNA from 1 species